GGAGGUUGGUGGUGGACGAUCCACUCGCCAACCGGGUCAGGUCCGGAAGGAAGCAGCCCUAACGAGCCCCGGAACGGGUCACUGUUCCAGCCUCCCAC
rnacentral:SRP_RNA from 1 species